CCAGUGCGUGGUCACGGACCGUUCCCCAUAUAUCUACUGACUUCAUAUAAAUGAAAGUGUACUAAAGGCUCACUGAUCUACACUACCAGCUCAUGCUCAACGUUACUGAACAACAAAGUAAUCCGACAAUCAGACUGGACCCGGUCAUGUUAGAUACCAGUGGAAGGAGAUGAACAUACAAUUGACUCCGCAUCGAUGCAUGACUUCGCCCGGAACGCGGCAAGAACCAACAAUGGAAGAAAAACUACAGACGUGUUUAUUAACAAUAAAGUUAUUUUUGUUUUUAUGAAAUAGCGAUUGAAUAAAAAUAUUAGGUAUAUGA